rnacentral:rRNA from 1 species
AUGCACGCUGGCGGCGUGCCUAAUACAUGCAAGUCGAGCGAACGGACGAGAAGCUUGCUUCUCUGAUGUUAGCGGCGGACGGGUGAGUAACACGUGGAUAACCUACCUAUAGGACUGGGAUAACUUCGGGAAACCGGAGCUAAUACCGGAUAAUAUUUUGAACCGCAUGGUUCAAAAGUGAAAGACGGUCUUGCUGUCACUUAUAGAUGGAUCCGCGCUGCAUUAGCUAGUUGGUAAGGUAACGGCUUACCAAGGCAACGAUGCAUAGCCGACCUGAGAGGGUGAUCGGCCACACUGGAACUGAGACACGGUCCAGACUCCUACGGGAGGCAGCAGUAGGGAAUCUUCCGCAAUGGGCGAAAGCCUGACGGAGCAACGCCGCGUGAGUGAUGAAGGUCUUCGGAUCGUAAAACUCUGUUAUUAGGGAAGAACAUAUGUGUAAGUAACUGUGCACAUCUUGACGGUACCUAAUCAGAAAGCCACGGCUAACUACGUG